GCUGAUCCACACCGCCUUGAUGUUCAGGUCCAGGAAGUGAUCCAGCUUCUCCUUGAUUCCUGCGUGGACAGACACGACGAGGCGAAGGAAGCCAUUCCCACAGCAUGCCGCUGCCACCGCUGUGUGUCAGCAUGGGGACCUUGUGUCCAGGCUGACGUGCAGGGGCAGCGGUCAACCACACACAGAGCACACAACUUGGUGCACAAUUUGCAGGUCUCCCACUCCGUCGCCGUCGGAGUCCCUGAAGGAGCGCGGAUACACCUGGUAGACGGG